GCCAGUCUUGUCUAUUUUUUUCCCUCAUUUUUUAACGUUUGAUAAUGAAACCAUGUUCGAGGCUCUGCUGAUUCAUCUGGAAGCCUGAUCAAGGAACUGAAUUACAUUCACUUCUUUUGUUUUGUUUUGUUUUGGUAUCAGGGAUCGAACUCAGGACCGUGUACUUGCAAGGCAGGUGCAGUGCCUCUGGGCUACAUCCCUGGCUCCUAAGUUUACUUUUUAAAGUAGGAGAUGAACCUUUCUUCUGGACUAAUGGCUGCCUUCUGUGGUGAUUCGGGAUGAUGGCCCUAGUGCUACUGACACACAGUGACCCAUCCACACGCAGGGCAGAGCGCUGGUGUGAACGAACGUCUUUCACUCUACCCUCGCACUGUCUUCUCUCUAUCCCAGGCCCCUUGCUGCAGAGACUGAGUAACAGUGAAUGCAAUCCUGUAGGCUCCUGGAUUUCGGAAGCAGCCCGUGGAACAUCUCACCUGAGCUUGCCCAGCUGAUCUCUUUGUGGCCAGGAUCCAACACAAGCCUCUCUUGACUUGCAAGGGGAGUGAAUAGCAGAAUCCUGCAGUCACCAGCUGGCGGUUCACUGGAAAAUGCUGCUGAGUCCUGCAAGGAAUUGUGUGGUGAAGACGGUUUGUUGUCUACAUAGCAGCUACUCUCACCUUCUUUCUUAUGAAGAGAUCCUCUAUUCUGCUAGAGGAAGCAAUAUGCUUGGCUAAAAACUACCUUGCCUAGUUGCAGCUCAGGUUGAGUGGAAACUCACUGGGGACUUCUGGGCUGCAUAUGUUCACUUGUGGAAUUCGGGUUGAAAACAACCCAAAUUGCUGCAGCGGUUGAAGAAUAAAAGUCUGAAGUAGAGAACAGAUCUGUCCCUGGAGGAAGGAGCGGGGAGAAGGCAGCAGCUGCAGCACAAGAUGAAAGAGGAGCCAGGAGACACAGGUUUUUAGAGGAUGAAAAGAUCCUUGAGAAUCUGCCUUCUCUGCUCCCUGGUGCCCAGCACUGGCCCAUACACCAGGCCCCUUUCUCCUCGACUGGAGACAGCUCUCAGCAGCCACAGAGAAGUGGGUGAACCUCUGAGGCCUCUGAUAUGUGAAGCCCAGGCAUUUCCAGAACUGAAUGUGAUUAGCCAAUGGCUAUUCAGAUGCAGGAUUUCUUUCAGGGUAUGAAGGCCAAGCUGUGAGGGGAACUUUGCUACGUGAUAAAAGACUGGGGGAGAAAUGUCUUGUUACCUAGAGAAAGGUAGGUAUAAUAUUAAUUUCAUAUUACUAUUAUGUGGAUACUAAUUACCAUUGACUGAGUGUUUGGUAAAUGCCAGGCACUUACAUGAAUGUGUUACAUUAAUUUUUUCACUUAUUUCUUAUACCAAUCCUGUGAAGUAGGUACUGUUAUUUCCCCACUGCACAGAAAAACAAAACUGAGGCUUAUUGGGCAUAUAAGUAGCCUCUGGUGUCUGGUGGCCAUCCUUGUUCCAAAUGAUUUCACAUUAACUUUCAUAAUUUAUUCUGCUUGGAAGCAACUCCCA
rnacentral:lncRNA from 1 species